UUGGUUAAGUGGCAACAAUACAAUGAACUAAAAUAAAACACUUUACCAAACCAACAGGAAAGGAAAAGCAUUUUGUCAUAAACGUUUUGUCUUCCUCUGUAGUUCAUGAUGAUUUUGAUAAAUGGAGCAUGAAUCUCAAUGUUACUCUUAUGCUUUGAAGAAGGAAACCGAGCAAGUUGUCUUUGGGAAAGGGAAAGGAUUCUAGGUCUCUCGUUUUUACUGUUUCCAGCUUCUCGUUUUUACUGUUUCCAUUUCUAUUUGGGAAAGGGAAGCUUCCAUGCAUGUUCUCUCUUUGAAGCAAGCAAGGAUUCUUUUGUAUGCUACAGGAUUCUUUUGAUCAUGAAAAUGGUAAAAAGCCUCUUUGUCUUCGACAUGAUUCUUUUGUGAGCUAUAGCCAUGGUAGAUUUUGAUCAAGAAAAUGGUGAGGUCGCUAAAGACUUACUUAAAUAAAAGAUGGAAUAAAUCGUUUAGCUCAAUACAGCUCCCCUGUUGCAAGAUUAAGCUUCGGUCAGCGUGCUUCAUGAUUCCAUCAACACAUCUUUGUCUCCUAAAGAUUUUUCCACCGAAAGCCUUCGGAUGUAGAAAAAGUAGGGGUCAAAGCUGGGAGUUGAAGAUUGUCAUUUUGUGGCUGGAUUAUAAAAGAAUUCUUCUUUUGGAUGGGGCAAAUGAGGGUUUGGUUAUUGUGUCAUAUUCUAGCGGAGUGAGUUUUAGAGAACCUUUUAAAAACCAAUUAAUGGAGUUCUUCAGGAACACUUGUGGAUGAGAAGAUUUCAGAGGAAGAUAUGGAGUUGUCUUCUUCCCUCAGUGAAAUCUGAUGUUUGGCAGGAACACUUGUGUAUCUUCUUUCAUUGGUGUUUUUGAAUGAAAUAUGUUAAGUCUAACACUAAGGUGAAAAGAACAAAACAUGACGAAUCAGAGCUAAGCUACGGUCUGCCCGUAGCCAGCGUUACGUCCCGUAGCACACCAGAAGCUGUCUCAUAUUCCAUUUUCACAACAGGGUUCGGACUGCUUAAGCUGUUUUAUUUCUGCAUCAAACACUAAUUUUAAGCCAUUCUUAAUAGAUUUUAGGCCUUCUGGUGUGUCACUUACAAGCAACUAGACAUACUUAAAUCAAACAUCAAGCCUUAUAGUGGUACCUUGAUGGAGUUCUCAGGAGACAAUGCAGAAGGCACGAGAUUCCUUGAAUUGUGACUUUCAUGGUCGAUGUGUGAAAAAUUUCAUUUCUGAAAAGGAUUUUGAUGGUCGAUGAAACGUUGGCAUACAACCUCGCCAUUGUAAGUAGACACAUGCUAAAUUCAAUUUGAGACCUUGUAUCAAAACCCCACUUAGCAACCUCAAGAAUAUUUUUAUGGAGUCCAACGUACAUGCCCGAAAUGUUCUCAAUAUUUGGUGAUUAUUGUUCCUUUAUUUUUCUGCUUGUAUAGAAUUCCUAACUUCACAUUACAUGUUUGUUUGAAAGUUCACAACAAUGCCAUGAGCAAAAUUAGAUAUACAUUCUAAACAAAAUUUAACUUUUCGUUA